rnacentral:rRNA from 1 species
CAGGAUGAACGCUAGCUACAGGCUUAACACAUGCAAGUCGAGGGGUAGCAGGAUCUAGCAAUAGAUUGCUGACGACCGGCGCACGGGUGAGUAACACGUAUCCAACCUUCCGUUUACUCGGGGAUAGCCUUUCGAAAGAAAGAUUAAUACCCGAUAGUAUGUUUUUCCCGCAUGGGAGAACCAUUAAAGUUUUUCGGUAAUCGAUGGGGAUGCGUUCCAUUAGGCAGUUGGUGAGGUAACGGCUCACCAAACCUUCGAUGGAUAGGGGUUCUGAGAGGAAGGUCCCCCCACAUUGGAACUGAGACACGGUCCAAACUCCUACGGGAGGCAGCAGUGAGGAAUAUUGGUCAAUGGACGAGAGUCUGAACCAGCCAAGUAGCCGUGAAGGAUGACUGCCCUAUGGGUUGUAAACUUCUUUUAUAUGGGAAUAAAGGAGCCUACGUGUAGGUUUUUGUAUGUACCAUACGAAUAAGGAUCGGCUAACUCCGUGCCAGCCGCCGC